GAUGAAGAACGUAGCGAAAUGCGAUAAGUAGUGUGAAUUGCAGAAUUCCGUGAAUCAUCGAAUCUUUGAACGCACAUUGCGCCUCCUGGUAGUCCGGGAGGCAUGCCUGUUCGAGCGUCACCAAAUCCAACUCAAGCGGUUUUGCGCUUGGUCGUGGCGGAAGAGUCGGUCUGGUUGCCGUCUCCCCUCCGAAAAUCAACGGCGGAAAGUCACUGGCAGUCAGCGUAGUAGUAUCGUUCGCCGAACAUCCAGUGGCAUUCCUGCCGACGUACCCCCACAAUUCUCGUGAUUGACCUCGUAUCAGGUAGGGAUACCCGCUGAACUUAAGCAUAUCAAUAAGCGGAGGA
rnacentral:misc_RNA from 1 species